GCGUGCUUAACACAUGCAAGUCGAACGAUGCCUUCAGGUUGCUGGGUGGAUUAGUGGCGAACGGGUGAGUAACACGUGAGCAACCUGCCCCUGACUCUGGGAUAAGCGCUGGAAACGGCGUCUAAUACUGGAUAUGUCCCGUCACCGCAUGGUGUGCGGGUGGAAAGAUUUUUCGGUUGGGGAUGGGCUCGCGGCCUAUCAGCUUGUUGGUGAGGUAAUGGCUCACCAAGGCGUCGACGGGUAGCCGGCCUGAGAGGGUGACCGGCCACACUGGGACUGAGACACGGCCCAGACUCCUACGGGAGGCAGCAGUGGGGAAUAUUGCACAAUGGGCGGAAGCCUGAUGCAGCAACGCCGCGUGAGGGAUGACGGCCUUCGGGUUGUAAACCUCUUUUAGCAGGGAAGAAGCGAGAGUGACGGUACCUGCAGAAAAAGCACCGGCUAACUACGUGCCAGCAGCCGCGGUAAUACGUAGGGUGCAAGCGUUAUCCGGAAUUAUUGGGCGUAAAGAGCUCGUAGGCGGUCUGUCGCGUCUGCUGUGAAAUCCCGAGGCUCAACCUCGGGCUUGCAGUGGGUACGGGCAGACUAGAGUGCGGUAGGGGAGAUUGGAAUUCCUGGUGUAGCGGUGGAAUGCGCAGAUAUCAGGAGGAACACCGAUGGCGAAGGCAGAUCUCUGGGCCGUAACUGACGCUGAGGAGCGAAAGGGUGGGGAGCAAACAGGCUUAGAUACCCUGGUAGUCCACCCCGUAAACGUUGGGAACUAGUUGUGGGGUCCUUUCCACGGAUUCCGUGACGCAGCUAACGCAUUAAGUUCCCCGCCUGGGGAGUACGGCCGCAAGGCUAAAACUCAAAGGAAUUGACGGGGACCCGCACAAGCGGCGGAGCAUGCGGAUUAAUUCGAUGCAACGCGAAGAACCUUACCAAGGCUUGACAUACACGAGAACGGGCCAGAAAUGGUCAACUCUUUGGACACUCGUGAACAGGUGGUGCAUGGUUGUCGUCAGCUCGUGUCGAGAGAUGUUGGGUUAAGUCCCGCAACGAGCGCAACCCUCGUUCUAUGUUGCCAGCACGUAAUGGUGGGAACUCAAGGGAUACUGCCGGGGUCAACUCGGAGGAAG
rnacentral:rRNA from 1 species